UCUCAGUGGGCCGCGCCGGCUGGCUCAUCGGAUUCUCUGGGUGUGGUCCCAUCCCUGGCCCGCAGUCCGCACAAUCGAUAACAACAAAGCUACACGUCUGUAGCAAAACAGACUCACACAACACUACUCAAAAUGAACCGCAUAAUCGAUAACAAAUAUUCGGAACUACUAACUCAUGAACAAAAUACACAGCUGUAACAACUAUGAAAAUGUAAACAACAAAGAUCGGGCCCCGGUUCCGGACCCAGCGUACCCGCCCUACCAUGAGACGAUCACCUCCACUCGUCUCCCUCAUUUUGGCCACCAAAUGGCCUAUAUUAGCCCGUGUCGGCCAUAAUGCCCACUCUCCCCAGCAAUAUUAUUUUAGCCGGACAUGAUUUCUUUCAAUAGCUGUUUAGGAUCUCAUGCAAGCGGAUAAUUCAUUAACUUCACAGAAUUAAUUUUUUUUAUUUUUUUACAACACUGAAUGGAACAGGCGACGAAACACUACAAGGAUAUUGCUAGUCGCCGCAAAAGAAACGCGCAAUGAGGCACUUUAGAGGCAAUCGUUGCCCCGAUUUAGGAACAAUGGCCCGCACACUUACUUAAAACUGGAGCUCUCUGGGGGUGGUAAGGGGCGAUAUAAAUGCGUAAAUUCAAAUUAGGCGCAGAUGCAUCACCGUUGGAGUUUUCCUCACCGUUCGCACUCUAAAGUGAAGCUCGGCGUAAGUGCCUAUGGAGUGCAAUUAGGAGUCUUCUUCUGACUCUGCCAGGGGCUCGACCGAGGAUGGGCAAAACAAUGGAACGGACUCACUCGGUGGAUGUGGGCGGGGUCUCGCCUGUGGCCGCUUCUUCGUUGUUGGAGCCCGGUCGUUGGUGGCUCGUCUCGUCGCCUUCACGUUUGCGCCGACGCUUGCUGGCGGCGUCGCGGAUAUGGCUGGUUUGCGCCGCUGCACUGAAUCCUGGCCUUGAAUAUUUCGUGGGCCUCUCUGGUGCGCGAGCUGGUCUCCUUGGUGCCGGAGCCGUUAAUUUUUGGCUUAUUUGGUUCGUCUCUCGUCGCACUUAAAUUUUUAAGUCUCUUUUAAUUUUUUUAUUAUAUUUUCUUUGUGAUUCGAGCGGUUUGAUUUAUAUAAAUUUAUUACAUGGCAAAGAACACAAAAACAAAACUUUUAUUCGUCUGUUAAGCCAUUGGUAUUAUGUGCCGGCUUAAUUUUUCAGAAGGGAAAAAAUUUUACUCUGUCAAGCAGAAAUGCAAUGUCCAACUUUUUUGCUCACUUCGAGCUG